UGGGUUUUGGCUUAAGACUGAAACCAAACACACUUGACCACAGUAAAACCCUUUCGUCUAAGCUUUUCGCUUUUAACUCUAUCUCUCUCCAUAUAAUAUUUCACUGUCAAAUACUCCUACAAAAUUUUAUAAUUAUCCUAUUUGUUAUCGGACAUUCAAGAAAACCUUCAUCUGUGGGUCAAAAUCACAUGAACUCUGUUUGUUAAUUAGGAAUCCCCAGCUCUGUAAAAAUUUCCAAGGUCCUGAUAUAUGAGUUGAUCAAAUUCGAUUUUUCAAGGAGUUGUAAGGUAUCUUCAAUUGUAAUUUUUUUUCCUGAAAGUUUUUUCGCUUAGGGUUUCAAUGUGCCCGAGUUUGAUUGGUUAUCGAAUUUUUGGGUUUUUAUUUUAUUUGUUAUUUUUAAUAUUCUCAAUGUAAGUAAGCAAAUAUGUAUUUCUCUUCUUUUUGAUAGUACUCGAUACAAGCAAUGUAACAGUUGGCAAUGAUAGAUUUAUUGAAGGACUGCCCUUAUUAGCUGUUGUGGGAUAGUCAUGGAUAGCUGUUUGUUUUCUUAUUUUUUUUAACUCAGAGAACAGAUACAUUCAACAUUUUACUGUUUGUAAUUAACUAUUUGGUCUGACUCCAUUCUCAAGAAAACCAAUAAAAUUCAAAUGCAUGUUCUACUUUGGAGCUUGAAAAGAAUGAGGAAUAGUGAAAGGUAUAGAAAAAUUAAAGUAACAUUAUACUUGUGCAGUUGUGCUGAUUAAGAGGACUUUCCUUGCCUUGCUCUUUCCGGAUUUUGGUUUUUCCACUUCACUCUAAUUCUCAUGCAAUAAAUUACUCAUAUUACCGUGUUCUGCUUUUCCUUGCUGUAUCGUUCUGGAAAGAAGAUAGGAAAUUGGUAUUAAAUAGCAAUCAAAGAACAGGGGACGCAUUUGC
rnacentral:lncRNA from 1 species